GGUACGGUUAUUCGGUUCGAGCGGAAAUCACCGAGAUCCAUGCUCAGCCCUAGCUAGUAGGGGUUAAAGUAUAAUUGUAAUAAAGAACAGUGUAGAAGAUGCAAUUAAACUAAAAACUAGGGGUUUUUUAUAAAAUAAAAAAGUAAAGGCCUAAGAUUAAUAGACAGGUCUUUUGCGCGCGCAUAAGAGAAUAUCCAAUUCAAGUAUCCGGAUCCGCCAAAAUAUAUUAUAAUUUCUUUGAUUUCGAAAUCAAACUUAUUUCAUAAUGCAGAUUGAAACUUAUCUCUGCUCUGUAUCACAAUCAAAUUCACCGAAGCACAACCACCAUCCCAUCUGUUCCAACUUAAAAGGCACCUCAUUUUUAAGGUAGAUUCAAUUUAUUUUUAAAUAGAAGGAAGGAGUACCUGCAACCAAAAUGCCGAGAUGGGAACCUUAUAAGCUUUCAGUUCAUCCCAAACACGACGUACUGCUUCUGUUCCACCCUGCAUUCCGAUAACAGCUCCAGAUAUAAUCCACUUAGGAAGCUCAGGAGGCCUCCCAAUAGUUUCCGUUAAGCGUUCAAUAAGAUCAGAAGGUGAGUUGCCAUAUAUUAUUCUUCCUUGAGCUGAACUGCUGUGUAUCUGUAAGCUCCAUUGUAUAUAAAAUAGUAAACUGCAAGUUUGAGUUCUGAAUGAGCUUAUAUCUAAAUACUGUUUCCUUUUAGAUGUCAAAAUAUUUAUUAUUCAAUUUUUAAAAUUCCAGAUUGCAAUUUCUUUAUGAGCACAGAACCCAGUUCUCCAUAAUUUCUUCUGUAUAUAUUCUGAAGGGUGUGAAUAAUUUCAUUUUACUAUACCCUGCUGAUCUAGAGACAAAAAUAGGGAUCUUUUAACAAUUCAUGUAGUUCUGUCACUGAAAUUCGUGCUUCACUCAUUAGCAUAGACUUUUGUCAAUUAUACAUGGUCUGAGCAAAUUUGAAUGCUGAUGCUGUUAUGUUAUCAUGUCUAUACGUUUUAGUAGGUCACUAACAUACCUGUAUCUGAACUCUAUCAUGUCUUGUCAGAUCAAAUACAGAGUAAUCAUAUCCUUCUAGAUAAAGAGACCUCAUCUUCGAUGUCAUGUAGAACGGUGAAGGAGCAUAAGUUGUGCUCCAAUCACCCCCAGCUCUGCAACAUAGGUGAAUAGAAUUAAAGAAGAAAAAAGAAAAAGAUUGCAUAUUCCAAUCAGAUUUCAUUAGCUUAACCUACGAUACUCUACAAAGUUAAAAGCAUAUCUACCUGUAGCUAACCAAAUUAGCUGCAAAAGUAAUAGGUUGAUCUCCUCUUCCAAUUCCCUGUUCUUGAACAAAAAUAGGCACCUUUUUUCCUUUGAAGUCCAUAUGGGAAAACUGCUCUCCAAAACCAUAGAAACUUUCAUUUGCCUCACUUGAAUAGCUAAGGCAGAUUCUAUUGAAAUCAGUCAACCUUGGGACCUUCAUUUCUGUUUCCUCUAAUGAGGUGACUGCAAAAAACCCUCUUGGUCUAGUAAAGAACCGAAACCAUCCAAGCCUUUGUUUUCGAAUUCUUCGCAGCUUGCUCCUUAGACGCUGGUAUUUUCCCAAACGAGUUGGUGAAGUUCUUGGAUGGAAUUCAAAGUUGGGUUGUCCAACUCUGACUUGAAAGCCAAUCUGGUUAAUGUUCUUUUGAUCAAGAAGAAACCAAUACCUUGCAGAAGUGGGUGGUCCCCAUGUGUUAAACUCAAUGUCUUGGUCAAAACUUGAAUACCCAGGUGAAGAAUCAAGAUCACUAGCUUCCUCAAGCUGGAUAUCAUCCAGUUGAUUGAUCACUCUUAUACCAUCGAUACUUUGAUGAUCACAGACCAAAAGAACAUUCUUAUCUUUUAUAACAAAGGAUCCCCUGCUUUCUUCCACCUCUGUCUCGGCUACUGCUGUGGAGACAAACGCUUGUCCAGGAAUGGAGGACCACAGGGCUCUUGUUGGCUGAGACUGAUGAGAAACUGAGAUAUACCCACCAUUGUUGGUGCUACAAAGAAGCUGAAAAUCCCUCCCUACUGGGAAGAUUUGAUGAGAUGGUACAGUUUGAGAAUUGAAGAGCAGACUUCCUUGAAUGAAAGGAAGAGAUCUUGGAGAUGAUGGGAAGGGAUUGUUUAGGUGCUUCUUGUGUCUUUUGGUUAUUUUGAUAGUUGCCAUGUUGGCGUUAAUAGAAUUUGUGUUUUAUGUAUUCUAUAUAUAGAUUUACAAACGUGUCAUAUCUUGGAUUUUGGGAGUUUAAUUUACUUUUUUUGCUCUAUAAAGAAAAUUCUUAUAUUUCUUUUUA